UUCGUAGGGUGCGAGCGUUAAUCGGAAUUACUGGGCGUAAAGCGUGCGCAGGCGGUUUUGUAAGCCCGGUGUGAAAUCCCCGGGCUCAACCUGGGAAUGGCAUUUGGGACUGCAAGGCUGGAGUGCGGCAGAGGAGACUGGAAUUCCUGGUGUAGCAGUGAAAUGCGUAGAUAUCAGGAGGAACACCGAUGGCGAAGGCAGGUCUCUGGGCUGACACUGACGCUCAUGCACGAAAGCGUGGGGAGCAAACAGG
rnacentral:rRNA from 1 species